rnacentral:miRNA from 1 species
UUUACUAUCUGGGAUGUCACA